GCAGUCGAACGAUGAUGCCCAGCUUGCUGGGCGGAUUAGUGGCGAACGGGUGAGUAAUACGUGAGUAACCUGCCCUUGACUCUGGGAUAAGCCUGGGAAACUGGGUCUAAUACUGGAUACUACCUCUUACCGCAUGGUGGGUGGUGGAAAGGGUUUUACUGGUUUUGGAUGGGCUCACGGCCUAUCAGCUUGUUGGUGGGGUAAUGGCUCACCAAGGCGACGACGGGUAGCCGGCCUGAGAGGGUGACCGGCCACACUGGGACUGAGACACGGCCCAGACUCCUACGGGAGGCAGCAGUGGGGAAUAUUGCACAAUGGGCGGAAGCCUGAUGCAGCGACGCCGCGUGAGGGAUGACGGCCUUCGGGUUGUAAACCUCUUUCAGUAGGGAAGAAGCGAGAGUGACGGUACCUGCAGAAGAAGCGCCGGCUAACUACGUGCCAGCAGCCGCGGUAAUACGUAGGGCGCAAGCGUUGUCCGGAAUUAUUGGGCGUAAAGAGCUCGUAGGCGGUUUGUCGCGUCUGCUGUGAAAGCCCGGGGCUCAACCCCGGGUCUGCAGUGGGUACGGGCAGACUAGAGUGCAGUAGGGGAGACUGGAAUUCCUGGUGUAGCGGUGAAAUGCGC
rnacentral:rRNA from 1 species